CUGGGUGUAGCGCAGUUUGGUAGCGCACUAGACUGGGGGUCUAGGUGUCGCAGGUUCAAGUCCUGUCACUCAGA
rnacentral:tRNA from 2 species